UCAUCAGUUGCUUAGUUUCCCUCUUGCAAUGCUCAUGUUUAUGAUAAGAUUGUCAGCCUAAAUCCAAUUAGGGAUAAUUGGAAUGUUCUUACCAGAGUUAUUAGGUUAUGGUGCAUUUGUGGAGGAGGACAAGUUACUGGAAUAGAGAUGAUAUUGAUGGAUGAUCAGAGCAUUUCACUCCUUUGCUAGAUCAGAUCAUAAAGUUAGAGGAAGCUCAUUUCAACAUUCAGUAUGAACAACAUUGGCUUGAGGCUCAGACAUAACGCUAGGAAAUAGUAAAUAAUGCUAUGAGCCCCAGAGCAAUUCACAAGGCCAUUGUUGAAUCAACAGCAUUAAUCGGGGCCAGCAUCCUCCAAGUUCAUCUUCUUCACCGCCUCUUUGAAAGAAAGCUUGAUAGGUAGAGAACAGCUAU